GUGAGUCCUUUAGAAACAGGAACAAAAGUUAAAUUAGCAAGGGUAGACAAUGACGGGCAUGGUCAAAGGUAUGAGCUAGCAGAGACCACAAGUUAGCAGAGCAAUUAGACGGAAGAAAAAUUUAAAGCAAAAGAAAACUACACACAAAAUGGGCGAGGCAGUAAAGGAACUGUGGAAUGGCUGAAAAUGUCAAAUGUCAAGUGGUAACUCUGGGCAGCUGGACUGAGAAUCUGUGCCUCUACCUCUAUAAUUCUCUCCUUCUGUCUUCCUCUGUGUUGGCCUCCAUGCAGCCCACGGGACUGCUCCACCUGGAAGAAUAAUUAUAAGGAAGCUGUUCAUCUCUGCCUCUCAACACCACCAAGCCUUAAGGUCCAGUCCCCUGGAUUUAUAACUACACCCCUCAUUACGACUCUAGAGGAAGUGUUUAUGGUUUGAAUCCUAGAGAAAGUUGUCAGAUGAAAUCUGGGAACACCCAAGGAAUAACGCAAUACCACAGAGUUAACAUGAUUGAUGAUAUCAUAGCUCAUUUUUAACAGAUGUCAAAAGAAGAAAAAUCAAGCUGUCAUUCCACAUACUGAGCCCUUGUUCACUUAACAGAAGACCUUUAUAAGUAAAUCAAAAUUAAUGAUGCAACCUGCCUACUGGAGGGAACAGACCCCGAUUGCAAGCCUGUCAUCUCCAGGGUCUCGUCCUAGACAGGAAGGGCCUGUAGAAACUGGGAGAUGAGUUCAUCCCUCAACUGACGGCCAAAGAAUUUGAAGCAAGAACACAGAGUCUUGGUUCCACAAAACGCUGUACUUAAAAGGACACUGCUGAGCGCUUCCUGUUCAGUACUGCUGGGGACAGCCUUGAAAAUAAUGACCUACUUUCCCUCAGCAAAGCCAACUCUGAGAGAGGAUGAUGUCUACAAAUGAGGGCUCAUAAAAGAAUAUAAUUAAACACUGGUGCGCCUCAGAGUGAGAGAACUUUGAGAUAAUGACUACAGUGGCACGCACUGUACCACAGAGAACAAGAUGUCACAAUUGUAUAUUUGCAGGUUGAUUUAAUCUGACAGGAUUCUUAGCGACAGAGAACGUGGUCUGUCUGAGCCGAGCGGCGCAGCUGGUGUGUCCGACCAAUGCGGCUCUGUUUAUCUUUGUGAACUUACACGUGUCAAUUAGCAAACUUCUUAAUCUGGCUGCACGUGCUUAUCUUUGGAGGUCCCCUGUAGAUCUUCCUUGUCUGAGGCACAGAGUGUGUAAAUCAUCCCUUUCAUUUAAAUAGAGUCUUUUUUAAAAUUCUCUGUA